rnacentral:rRNA from 1 species
UUUAAUUCGAAGCAACGCGAAGAACCUUACCUAAGCUUGACAUCCCAAUGACAUCUCCUUAAUCGGAGAGUUCCCUUCGGGGACAUUGGUGACAGGUGGUGCAUGGUUGUCGUCAGCUCGUGUCGUGCGAUGUUGGGUUAAGUCCCGCAACGAGCGCAACCCUUGUCUUUAGUUGCCAUCAUUAAGUUGGGCACUCUAGAGAGACUGCCAGGGAUAACCUGGAGGAAGGUGGGGAUGACGUCAAAUCAUCAUGCCCCUUAUGCUUAGGGCUACAC